rnacentral:rRNA from 1 species
AUUGAACGCUGGCGGUAUGCUUAACACAUGCAAGUCGGGCGAGUAGCCUUCGGGCGAGAGCGGCGGACGGGUGAGUAAUGCAUAGGAAUCUGCCCUGUAGUGGGGGACAACGUGGGGAAACCCACGCUAAUACCGCAUACGCUCCAAGGGGGAAAGCGGGGGACCUUCGGGCCUCGCGCUAUAGGAUGAGCCUAUGUCGGAUUAGCUAGUUGGCGGGGUAAAGGCCCACCAAGGCGACGAUCCGUAGCUGGUCCGAGAGGAUGAUCAGCCACACUGGGACUGAGACACGGCACCGACUCCGACUGAGGGCAGCAGUGGAGAAUAUUGGACAAUGGGCGCAAGCCUGAUCCAGAAAUACCGCGUGGGGGAAGAAGGCCUGGGGGUUGUAAAUCACGUUGAGUAGGGAGGAACCCCUGCCGGCCAAUACCCGGCAGACUGACAUUACCUAUAGAAAAAUCACCGGCUAACUCCGUGCCAGCCGCCGCAGUAAUAC